CUCUUCUCCCAUUCCAUUGGAUGCCUUUUAGUUUUGUUGAUUAUUUACUUUGCUAUGCAGGAGCUUUUUAUCUUGAUGAAGUUCCAAUAGUUUAUGUUUGUUUAACUGGACACCUUUGUACAAGAGAAAAGAAGGAAACCUGAGUGCUAGUUAUGACCCUUUUUAACUAGCUGUGUGAACUUAACCUUUAUUUUCCUCAGUAUUUCUUACCUGUAAGAUUCUUUUAUUUAAUUUUAAGUUAUCUAUUGUUUCCAGUAUUUCAUUGUACAAAGAUAGUCAUUAUAUUUGCUACUCAAUCCACCCAGCAUAUGGUAGGCACUUAGAUAUAUGUCAAACACAUGAAUGAAUGAAUGAAUGAAUGCUAUCAAUGACAUAGAAGGCAUUUUUCCUUUGGGUACAUAAUUUAAUUAUGGGCAAACAGGUAUCUGAAGGGUGCGAUAUAGUCAUUGUAUAAUUAAGAUAGUGUCCUCAGAUCUAUGAUAACCCUCAUGGUUUCCUCCCUAACAGGAAGGAUGGAAUUGCUAUGACUGAAAAUGAAGUGCUGUUGGCUUUAUUAUAAUUCUAUUUUAAAAUUUUCUCUUUAGUUCAUAUGUAGAAGUAUAAAUUCUACAUAAAUACUAGUAUAAUUAGUAUUUCUUAUAAGGUAGGUCUAGAGGUGAUGAAUUUCCUCAGUCUUUCUUGACCUCUGGUCUCUUGUCUAAAAAAAUGAAGAAAUGAAUGAGUGAAUAAGCUAUUUUAAGAUCUGGGUUGCAGCCAGGAAUAUAUGGUUUCUGUUGAGAAGCAAAAACCACCAAACAGUAGUCACUGCUGCCUCUGAUUUCAAAACCUUCCAUCUCUGCCAGAGUGAAGCUGGUACAGCCCCUGCUGCUGUGGCUUCUGAAUGCCAACUACCAGUAGAGCAAGUUUCAGUGUCCUUUGGAGCUGCUUAAUGGUCUCCAUAUGUCUCCUUCUAUUAACCACUUCUUACUUUACUCCAGUAAAUCUCUAGCAGGUCUUUCAUUAGAUCCUCCAUAACUCAAAAAACCUAACUAAGACUUUCUUUUCAGGAAGGAAGACUCAAGCCUAGGAUGUAACAUUUUCUGAGCUGGGUUUAAACCAGAGGCAUGUCUGCUCAUUCAUGGUUUCUGAUCUCUGAUGGAUAUGGAAGGGGCCCCGGCACCAAUGUAAUUUCCAGGGACACCUUAUUCUCAGGGGGCUAGCAGGGGCUUUCACAGGUUGAUCUACUUCUUCCCAUCAAUGCCACACAUACUGGGGAAGAGGAGGUGCCCCGAUACUUACCUGGGUUAGGGGUCUUGCCUUGUUGGAUGUGUCAUGAUUUACACCACCAUCUGCAUCUGGCUUGUUCCUCUGGAGCUCUGGCCUUUCAUCUCUUCUCCUCACUGGAUUUCUGGCUUGGCCUUCUACUGGAGUCUCACUACUAUUCUUCUGAUUCUGAUAGUGACCUCUUCAACAGAUGAAGAAGCCAUCAUUUAAGAGUUCAACUAACUUGCUCAAGGCCUCACAGGAAGUCGUGAUUGGAAUCCAGUUCUCUCUGAUCCUAAAACCCAUAUUUUUAACUACCUAGUCUAGUAACCAUUUCUAGUCUAGUAGUCAUUACCAGGAGGAUUUUAAAAAAAAUGUUUCUUUCUUCUUUAAUAAACAAGAUUGAGAUUUUCUUUAAGUUUUAGUCCUUUUUUGUUUACUUUCAUUCAUCUAGGGAGUAAAAUACCCAAAGAUGUCAUCCUACAUAAUUCUGUUUAAAUUUAAGAUUUUAUG